rnacentral:misc_RNA from 1 species
UCCGGCUUAUCACCGGCAGUCCCACUAGAGUGCCCAACUUAAUGAUGGCAACUAAUGACAAGGGUUGCGCUCGUUGCGGGACUUAACCCAACAUCUCACGACACGAGCUGACGACAGCCAUGCACCACCUGUCACGGGCCCUUACGGACACUGUGUUUCCACAGUUUUUCCGGUAUAUGUCAAACCCAGGUAAGGUUCUUCGCGUUGCAUCGAAUUAAUCCGCAUGCUCCGCCGCUUGUGCGGGGACCCGUCAAUUCCUUUGAGUUUUAGCCUUGCGGCCGUACUCCCCAGGCGGGAUACUUAAUGCGUUAGCUUCGGCACGGCAGUCAUUGGUAUAACCGCCACACCUAGUAUCCAACGUUUACGGCGUGGACUAC